rnacentral:tRNA from 1 species
CCGCUUCGGCGCGGCCGGCCGAGCCGCCGCCGGUGCGGCCGGCGGUGAACCGGCGGCCGCCGCCCGGCUCCGGCGGUCACCCGCCCGGGGCGGACC